GACGAACGCUGGCGGCGUGCUUAACACAUGCAAGUCGAACGGAAAGGCCCUGCUUUUGUGGGGUGCUCGAGUGGCGAACGGGUGAGUAACACGUGAGUAACCUGCCCUUGACUUUGGGAUAACUUCAGGAAACUGGGGCUAAUACCGGAUAGGAGCUCCUGCUGCAUGGUGGGGGUUGGAAAGUUUCGGCGGUUGGGGAUGGACUCGCGGCUUAUCAGCUUGUUGGUGGGGUAGUGGCUUACCAAGGCUUUGAAGGGUAGCCGGCCUGAGAGGGUGACCGGCCACCUUGGGCCUGCGAUACGGCCCAGACUCCUACGGGCGGCAGCAGUGGGGAAUAUUGCACAAUGGGCGGAAGCCUGAUGCAGCAACGCCGCGUGCGGGAUGCCGGCCUUCGGGUUGUAAACCGCUUUCGCCUGUGACGAAGCGUGAGUGACGGUAAUGGGUAAAGAAGCACCGGCUAACUACGUG
rnacentral:rRNA from 1 species